ensembl:ribozyme
AAAGUGCCUCAUAUUGCCAUAGUAGAAGCAUUCACAUCAUGGCUCCUACCAGAUUCUUAAGAAUCUGUAAAUUCUGCU